rnacentral:rRNA from 1 species
UACGUAGGGUGCAAGCGUUGUCCGGAAUUAUUGGGCGUAAAGAGCUCGUAGGCGGUUCGUCACGUCGGCUGUGAAAUCCCGAGGCUCAACCUCGGGUCUGCAGUCGAUACGGGCGGACUGGAGUACUGCAGGGGAGACUGGAAUUCCUGGUGUAGCGGUGAAAUGCGCAGAUAUCGGGAGGAACACCUAUGGCGAAGGCAGCUCGCUGGGACGUUACUGACGCUGAGACGCGAAAGCGUGGGGAGCAAACAGG